CCACGGUCAAGGGAAGAAGGAUGGAAGAAUUUUGAUUCAGGGCAUGUGGUGGUACCAAAAACGCACCACCACAUGCAAAAUAUUAUUUUACCCACCAAAAAAGUAUCACCACAUGCCCCGAAUCACGUUCUUCCAUCCUCUUCCUUGUUGGUGGCCUCUUAUCACCUUCAUAAGUGGGUUAGUCCCGCACACUAACUCCAUGGGAACCGGGACUUUUUGACGAAGAGCUCGGUUGAACCGCAAAGAGGAGGAAGAUUUGUGACAGCGCACAAGGAAGGACACGGCUGCUCGUUACACGACAGUUCGUGUGGGUAGACCGUGCUUGUCGGCAGUGUGGCGAACCGAACCGCAGCCUCUUCUACAGUUGUUUUUUUGACGGAGAAUGUAUCAUACUCACCUCUACUCAAUGAACCUACCUUGAGCUCAUUAUUUUGUUGUGGUUUUCGGCGUCAAAGCGACAGAGAUGGAAAGCAAGUUAGCCAGCACUACUCCAUCUUCCUCUUCAUUUGAUAUGCAGCUACUGACAUAACCAGUGCAGCGGAAGAUGGACAUCCAGAGUGGCAUACAAAAGGCAGUGGAGCCCCUCCCUACCUCUCUCCCCUCCUCCCCUCAACAGUCGGGUGCCCAUCAGCAGAGCGAGCCGGAGGACAGCCAGGCAGAGCAGAGCGCCAGGCCCACCGCUGACAACCACAGCAAGGACACCCAGCCAGCCGCCGGCCACCGAGACGACAAAAAAUAUUUCAGUGUGGAGUCGAUUGAUGGGACUAUGUUUCAUGAAGCCAUUAGAAGACUGUUGCUGACUGAGAGGAGGGGCUGUCAGGAGAAACACUUUCACAUCCAAGGUUACAGAUGGAGAGACAGAGAAGUUCGUCAUAAGGUGGCUGCAGCUUGCACCAGACAGAGACGGACACAGGAAGGAGAGGACCGAACACAGCAAGGAAAGGGCAGAUAGACCCCAAGAGAAAUAGAUACAUUGACAUACACGCAUACAUACAUGGGAUAAAGGGAUGAACACUGACUCUUUGUACAUUAUCUGGAAAUAAUGGACGACUUGGUACUGCCCGAGUUUAUUAGUUCCAAGUAAUGUACAGAGCGGAGGCGUUUAUCCCGCUUAUUCCACGGUUGCCAAAGAAAACAAGACCACAUUUACUGGUAAAAAUGUACAUGUUUUCUUUGAGAUUAGAAUUUUGAUAAGUAAAUUCAUGCUAUUUCAUCCUUCCCGUUGUGCUGUCGGUUCGGUUGAUAGAGAAGCGGACUUGUUGUUCAUUCGAUUAAUUUGAUUGCUAUGCAGGCUGGCAAUGUUCUUAUCCCUUACUUGCUAGGUAGCCAACUAUGGCUAACCCAGUCGCUUCAACUAUGCACAGAAUAACAUCAAAGUAGCUGCAUUAGCGUUUUUUUUAAGCUGUUUUCUAGUGACAUUUAUUUGGAUAUGACCAUGCUACUGUACCUAAGUAGUACUUGUUGAGGGAUGACACGCACUCAAAAGUAAAUUUCAUAUAUUUAAAUAAAAAAGGUAAAAUGAGAAAAUGUCAUGUCUUUUUUUAUGCUUAUGUUGUUCAUAGUUCGGUUAAUAGCUGCAAUAUUACUUCCUCAAUUUAACAUCAUUAUUCUUUUUUGAGUGUGUGUGUGGGGUGGGGGGUUGAAUCAAGUGGAUCUGGGCCAAUUCUGGCCCUAAAAUGGCAGCUUUGGCUUAGUUCAGGCUGCCAGAUCUGGGCCGAAUUACUCUGGCCUAGUCUGCCGUCAUUCAUUUCGGACUCGGGCGAAAUCCAGCUUCCAGACCCAGGCCAGCAGUUUUAGAUCUGGCAUGUCAGAAUCAGGCCAGAUGUGGGCCAGACAUUUUUGUUGUUAGUGAGAGGGGCUUGGUGUGUGUGUGUAAACCAGAGGAAGAGAAGAAGUAAGAAGUUUCACUCUCACUAAAUUCCGUCCAAAAUAAGUCCAAUGCGUUGCUAUGGGCUUGUUUUGGACCUAACUUGUCACCUGCAUUCCCUCCUUUGGGACAAUGACUCCCAUUGUUAGGGCGGAGUCGUGCAUUUCCUCAUUUUAUACAGAUCUCUGGUCUAAAUGGAAAGAUGCACACAGCACAGGAGCGAAGGAGACGAGAAAACAUGUGGACAAACGUUCAUAAACUCAAACGACUUAAAAACGUGAUUCUUGUAAUACAGGCAUUUGGAAUAUCGUGCAAAAACAUAAAAUUGGAAUUCAUCGAAUUAAAUUGAUAUAUUGCCCAGCCCUACUACAACUAGCUUUUUGCCUCUAUUUUCAUGCUCAGGCUGUCAAAAAAAAUCCCACAAAUAUUCCUGGGCUGAAAGACAGCAUGUAGAAAAAGGUUCUCCGUGUACAGUGUAUUCUGACACAAACAAUAAGCGAGAUGGAAAAAGACCAAGAAAACUCAGAAGGGUUCAGACUUCAGAGUCAAAAGCCUUCAUGUAAUUUUUAUGUGACACACACCAGGGUUUCCAUUAGCCGGUAAAUGCUGGCUUUUGGCCGAUUAAAAAAAAAAAAAACGAAAAGCAGAUAAGUAAAAUUAUUGCCGCUCAAAUUGUAGAGAAAAAUAAAAAACCAUUGCGAAAUAAUGCGUUUUAUUCAUUGAUGGAAAUACCAGUCGAUGUGCUCCAACUUCAAAGGCAAAUAUACUUCAUAGACUAAUAAAGUAAGCUUUCUCUCAAUGAUUAGCCAAAUGUGUUUUAUUUACAUAUCGAAUUUGAUUGUUCAACAUCAGUUUUGGAAUUUCUUCAUUUUGUGGCCACCUAGAGUGUCCUCUUGCCACUGCUGUGGUGCUGAAUCGCAAUGGGAAUGAGGAGUAGGGUGGGACAGCCCAGUCAUGGCUAGAAGGGAUCUAGCUUUUGUCAAAUUAAUGUCAAAUGUAGAUUUUUUUUUAUUUUAGCUAACCCUAACUCUUUUCCUAACCUAAACCUAAUUUUCAACACCCUCUUUUAUACUACCUCUCAGGCUGGGAGAGGGGGGAGCUGGGUGAUAUCAGAGUAAAAUUGAUUACUCACAGAGCACACACCUGCCAGAGCCACAGGUUGUGUGUCAUUUACAUUAAAUGUUUGUCACUUACAGGAGCAAUCAGGGUUAAGUGCCUUGCUCAAGGGUUACUGGCCCAACGCUCUUAACCGAUAGGCUACCUGCCGCCUGCUGUGUGUGAGUGUGUGAGAGAGAGAGAAAUAAAGAGUGUGUGUGUGUGUGUGUGUGUCAGGGUUUCCGCCAGGAAAAUUUGGCACCGGAUUAACCUGAGUUAAUUCUCCAAACCUGCUGUGUAAAUUCUCCUAACCUGCUACGAAAAGUCAAAUCUGAUGUUUACAAAAACUGGAUCCCUUCUAGCCAUGACCGGCCGGCCCUGGUGUUUGUAGACAGCCAUGUUUUGUUAUUUAUUAGUUAAAAUGUUCAUUCCUAGGCUAAAUUAAAUUAGAGGCCUAGAUUGUAUUUGGAAUCAGUUGUUUUAUUAUUUAUUCAUUAAAAUGUGCAUACAAAUAGCCUUUAGGACAGGUCGUUCGCAAAUUAUUUUAUACAAAAUCUAUAUUUUGAAGUAGGCGACUUCUUAUAGGCUAAUUAUUGUUAUUAUGUUUUAUGAUAAUCAUUUGUGAUUUAUAGCAAGGAUGAAGACGCAACAGGCAAUGCUUUGCUUAUCAAAUAAAACCUGUCAUGUUGCUAUAAGAACAUCAUUCUACUUUAUUUGUUUACAACUUUACAAGCUAAUUUCUAUUCUGUUAAAAUGAAUGACAAUCUAAAUGUGAUUUUUGAGCACCGUGGGUAGACAUCCUAAUGGGUUACAAAGCCAAUGCAUAUGGAUGUCCAGUAUAUUUCUCAAAUGUCCAGUAAAUUUAAAAUCUGUCCGGUCACGUUGUCCGGUGCCAAAUUUUCCUGGCGGAAACCCUGACACAUACACACACACACACACAC
ensembl:lncRNA